AUACAGAUGACGAGUCCUAAACAGGACGAAACGCGCAUUUUAUAU
rnacentral:hammerhead_ribozyme from 1 species